UGAAUACGAGAUGCUACGGCGUCGAAGCAGUCUAUGUCAUACUUCCAAGAAAAGCUCGCACUGUCAUAAACAAAUAAUGCCUGUACCAUAACCGACACAGGUGGGUAGGUAGAGUAUACUAAGGGGCGCGAGAUAACUCUCUCUAAGGAACUCGGCAAAAUGACUCCGUAACUUCGGGAGAAGGAGUGCCUUAUUUAUAAGGUUGCAAUAACAAGAUCCAAGCAACUGUUUAUCAAAAACACAGGUCUCCGCUAAGUCGUAAGACGAUGUAUGGGGGCUGACGCCUGCCCAGUGCCAGAAGGUUAAAGAAGUUGGUUAGCAUUCGCGAAGCUGAUAACUGAAGCCCUGGUGAACGGCGGCCGUAACAAUAACGGUCCUAAGGUAGCGAAAUUCCUUGUCGGGUAAGUUCCGACCCGCACGAAAGGCGUAAUGAUUUGGAUACUGUCUCGGAGAGGGGCUCGGUGAAAUAGACUUGUCUGCGAAGAUGCGGACUACCUGCACCAGGACAGAAAGACCCUAUGAAGCUUUACUGUAACUUGAGAUUGAAAUUGGACUUUACUUGCGCAGUAUAGGUGGGAGGCGUUGAUAAUAUUCUUGCGGGAUUAUUUGAGCCAUCAGUGAGAUACCACUCUUGUAAUGUUAGAUUUCUAACUUUGUAUCAUUAUCUGGUCAAAGGACAGUUUCAGGCGGGCAGUUUGACUGGGGCGGUCGCCUCCUAAACGGUAACGGAGGCGCACAAAGGUUUCCUCUGAACGGGUAGAAAUCGUAUCUAGAGUGUAAAGGCAUAAGGAAGCUUGACUGUGGGACCUACAAGUCGAGCAGGGACGAAAGUCGGUCUUAGUGAUCUGACGGUGCUGAGUGGAAAGGCCGUCACUCAACGGAUAAAAGUUACUCUAGGAUAACAGGCUGAUCUCCCCCAAGAGUUCACAUCGACGGGGAGGUUUGGCACCUCGAUGUCGGCUCAUCGCAUCCUGGGGCGGUAGUACGUCCCAAGGGUUGGGCUGUUCGCCCAUGAAAGCGGUACGCGAGCUGGGUUCAGAACGUCGUGAGACAGUUCGGUCCAUAUCCGGUGUAGGCGUUAGAAUAUUGAGAGGAGCCUUCUUUAGUACGAGAGGACCGAGAAGGACAUACCUCUGGUGUACCAGUUAUCGUGCCAACGGUAAACGCUGGGUAGCUAUGUAUGGAGUGGAUAACCGCUGAAAGCAUCUAAGUGGGAAGCCCACCUCAAGAUAAGUAUUCAC
rnacentral:rRNA from 1 species